GGACCCCACGGAGUCCUAGGACCCCCUAUAAGAAUACCCCUUUCCCUUGAGACCCAACAUCGACCUCCUUUCUCUCUCUUUCUCUCCGUUUUUCUCGAUCGAAGGCCGCGGACACCGGUUGAUUUCUCGCCGUGAUUGCCGCCGACGAGGUCUCCGGAGGCUGAGGUAAGUUUUCCUCUUCCUCCCCUCUUUCUUUUCCUUCCUCCCAUGCUCCU
rnacentral:lncRNA from 1 species